rnacentral:rRNA from 1 species
UACGUAGGGGCCUAGCGUUGUCCGGAUUUAUUGGGCGUAAAGAGCUCGUAGGCGGUUCGGCAAGUCGGAUGUGAAAUCUCCACGCUCAACGUGGAGGGGCCAUUCGAAACUGCCGUGACUCGAGUCCGGUAGGGGAGUGGUGGAAUUCCCGGUGUAGCGGUGAAAUGCGCAGAUAUCAGGAGGAACACCGAUGGCGAAGGCAGGUCUCUGGGCCACUACUGACGCUGAGAAGCGAAAGCAUGGGGAGCGAACAGG